rnacentral:tRNA from 1 species
GUUUAUGUAGUUUAUAUAAAUAUGGCACUGAAAAUGCUAAGUUGAAGAAUAAAAUUCUUCCAUAAACA